CGGUCUCUCACAGACCGGUCUCCUCGAGAGGACCGGUCCCUGAGGACGACACAGGUUUUUAAAAAAAGGACUUUUCGCAAUCCUAGUCUACUUCUAAGUCUUCUAAACAUAUAAAUAAGCCAUGGGGGUCAUCUAAAAGUUUGAGGCUUUGAAUUUCUACUUAUUCUAAACCCUAGAAACUUGUUUUUCCCGUUCUUAUGGUUUGAUUCUAAUAACAAGUUUCUAACAAUCAACAAUCGACUUGAUUCUUCGUUUUUACUCGAGAACUCAUACGAGAAUCAAGUAGAUGUUUGAUUA
rnacentral:lncRNA from 1 species